rnacentral:rRNA from 1 species
GACGAACGCUGGCGGCGUGCCUAAUACAUGCAAGUAGAACGCUGAAGAGAGGAGCUUGCUCUUCUUGGAUGAGUUGCGAACGGGUGAGUAACGCGUAGGUAACCUGCCUUGUAGCGGGGGAUAACUAUUGGAAACGAUAGCUAAUACCGCAUAACAAUGGAUGACACAUGUCAUUUAUUUGAAAGGGGCAAUUGCUCCACUACAAGAUGGACCUGCGUUGUAUUAGCUAGUAGGUGAGGUAACGGCUCACCUAGGCGACGAUACAUAGCCGACCUGAGAGGGUGAUCGGCCACACUGGGACUGAGACACGGCCCAGACUCCUACGGGAGGCAGCAGUAGGGAAUCUUCGGCAAUGGGGGCAACCCUGACCGAGCAACGCCGCGUGAGUGAAGAAGGUUUUCGGAUCGUAAAGCUCUGUUGUAAGUCAAGAACGAGUGUGAGAGUGGAAAGUUCACACUGUGACGGUAGCUUACCAGAAAGGGACGGCUAACUACGUGCCAGCAGCCGCGGUAAUACGUAGGUCCCGAGCGUUGUCCGGAUUUAUUGGGCGUAAAGCGAGCGCAGGCGGUUUGAUAAGUCUGAAGUUAAAGGCUGUGGCUCAACCAUAGUUCGCUUUGGAAACUGUCAAACUUGAGUGCAGUAGGGGAGAGUGGAAUUCCAUGUGUAGCGGUGAAAUGCGUAGAUAUAUGGAGGAACACCGGUGGCGAAAGCGGCUCUCUGGUCUGUAACUGACGCUGAGGCUCGAAAGCGUGGGGAGCGAACAGGAUUAGAUACCCUGGUAGUCCACGCCGUAAACGAUGAGUGCUAGGUGUUGGAUCCUUUCCGGGAUUCAGUGCCGCAGCUAACGCAUUAAGCACUCCGCCUGGGGAGUACGACCGCAAGGUUGAAACUCAAAGGAAUUGACGGGGGCCCGCACAAGCGGUGGAGCAUGUGGUUUAAUUCGAAGCAACGCGAAGAACCUUACCAGGUCUUGACAUCCCGAUGCUAUUUCUAGAGAUAGAAAGUUACUUCGGUACAUCGGUGACAGGUGGUGCAUGGUUGUCGUCAGCUCGUGUCGUGAGAUGUUGGGUUAAGUCCCGCAACGAGCGCAACCCCUAUUGUUAGUUGCCAUCAUUCAGUUGGGCACUCUAGCGAGACUGCCGGUAAUAAACCGGAGGAAGGUGGGGAUGACGUCAAAUCAUCAUGCCCCUUAUGACCUGGGCUACACACGUGCUACAAUGGUUGGUACAACGAGUUGCGAGUCGGUGACGGCAAGCUAAUCUCUUAAAGCCAAUCUCAGCUCGGAUUGUAGGCUGCAACUCGCCUACAUGAAGUCGGAAUCGCUAGUAAUCGCGGAUCAGCACGCCGCGGUGAAUACGUUCCCGGGCCU